rnacentral:rRNA from 1 species
GACGAACGCUGGCGGCGUGCUUAACACAUGCAAGUCGAACGGUGAAGCGCCUUCCUUUUUGGUGGGUGUGGAUGAGUGGCGAACGGGUGAGUAACACGUGAGUAACCUGCCCCCUUCUUCUGGAUAACCGCAUGAAAGUGUGGCUAAUACGGGAUAUUCUGGGUCUGUCGCAUGAUGGGUCUGGGAAAGAUAUUGUUUCGGUGGGGGAUGGGCUCGCGGCCUAUCAGCUUGUUGGUGGGGUGAUGGCCUACCAAGGCGGUGACGGGUAGCCGGCCUGAGAGGGUGGACGGUCACGCUGGGACGGAGACACGGCCCAGACUCCUACGGGAGGCAGCAGUGGGGAAUAUUGCACAAUGGGCGGAAGCAUGAUGCAGCGACGCCGCGUGAGGGAUGGAGGCCUUCGGGUUGUGAACCUCUUUCGCCAGUGAAGCAGGCCUGCCUCGUUUGUGGGUGGGUUGACGGUAGCUGGAUAAGAAGCGCCGGCUAACUACGUG